rnacentral:rRNA from 1 species
UACGGAGGGUGCAAACGUUGCUCGGAAUCAUUGGGCGUAAAGCGCACGUAGGCGGCUUGUUAAGUCGGAUGUGAAAGCCCUGGGCUCAACCCAGGAAGUGCAUUCGAAACUGGCGAGCUUGAAUAUGGAAGAGGGUCGCGGAAUUCCCGGUGUAGAGGUGAAAUUCGUAGAUAUCGGGAGGAACACCAGUGGCGAAGGCGGCGACCUGGGCCAAUAUUGACGCUGAGGAGCGAAAGCGUGGGGAGCGAACAGG